rnacentral:sRNA from 1 species
AACUAGCCCCGAUUGCAGCGGCAUCCUUUUUUUGAAAUGGCUUUGUAAAAAAGCACCGGCAAAAAAGAUAUAGCGGAAAGCGGGAUUAAGC